GACUCUUAGUUGCUAGGUUGGUACUCUUUCCGGAAGUGGUUGUUGGCCGCUGCAGAGCAACACCCCGGCGUCCCUGGAAGCGGGGAGCCGGGGUGGUACUGGGGAAGCUGCACGGACCCGGGAGCGGUCGUCCAGUGCCUCCCGGGGCGGGGGGGCAGUUCAUUUUGAGAGAGGGAGAGAAUCUCAAGCAGGCUCUGACCUGCCAGCACGGAGCCCGAUGAGGGGCUUGAACUCAGACACCGAGGAUCACGACCUGAGCCGAAACGAGUCGGACGCUUAACUGAGCCACCGAGGCGCCCCUGGGAAAACAAUUUCUACCUAUUUGAGAGGAGGAGGACGUAGGUGUUCGAGCCCAUACCAACCAUGGCCGGGAGACCCAUCCGCAUAGGAGACCAGCUGGUUCUGGAGGAGGAUUAUGAUGAGACCUACAUCCCCAGUGAGCAAGAAAUUCUUGAAUUUGCCAGAGAGAUUGGUAUUGAUCCCGUCAAGGAGCCGGAACUGAUGUGGCUGGCGCGAGAGGGCAUUGUGGCCCCACUGCCCGUGGAGUGGAAGCCCUGCCAGGACAUCACAGGUGAUAUUUACUAUUUCAACUUUGCCAAUGGGCAGUCCACGUGGGACCAUCCAUGUGACGAGCACUAUCGGAACUUGGUGAUCCAAGAGCGGAGGAAGCUGUCAACUCCAGGAGCCGUUAACAAGAAAGACAAGAAAAAGAAGAAGGAAAAGAAAGACAAGAAGGACAAAGAGACCUCCAAAAGUCUGCUGGCCCCGGGCUCCUCAUUAGCCCCAGUCCACGUCCCUCUUGGGGGCCUGGCUCCCCUAAGAGGCCUUGUGGAUGCCCCGGCCUCUGCUCUUCGUGGAUCGCAAAGCGUGAGCCUGGGGAGCUCAGCGGAAUCUGGUCAGCUUGGAGAACUCACGCUGCCUCCACAGGGUCUCAAGACUUCUGCUUACACAAAGGGUCUCUUGGGCUCCAUCCACGAGGACAAGAAAGCCCUCAGCCUCUUGGCUUUAGGGGAGGAGACCAACGAGGAGGAUGAGGCAGAGAGUGACAACCAGAGUGUCCGCAGCUCAAGUGAGCUUCUUAAGAACCUGCACCUGGACAUUGGGGCGCUGGGGGGUGAUUUUGAGUAUGAGGAGUCUCCAAGAACAAGCCAGCCAGAGGAGAAGAAGGAUGCUUCUCUGGAUUCAGAGGCUGCCGGGCCCCCCACUCCCGGCAAGCUCUUCAGCCAGGAUGCAGACAGCAGUCUGAGCAGUGCCGAUGGCACAGGGCAGCAGGGAAGAGGGGCGAGCGCGUGGCUCCUGGAGAAAGAAAAGGAUGAGAAGAGUGAUUCAGGAAUACCCAGGAGUGGGGUGGACCCUGGGGGCAGUCAGCCUGCCAAAGCCAACAAAGAGGAGGCCCCAGAGGCCCCAGCGGAUGUAGGAGAGGAGGGUUCCCGGAAGGGAGAGGCGGAAGGAGGCGCCGAAGGAGGCAGGAGCCCUCUCUGCUCCGCUCUGGGUGACGUCUCUAUGGGUCUGUUUCCCCAGGAGUUGGAGAUCAGCGAGCAGGUGAAGGAGCUGCAGCUGUCAGACUCCGUGGCCUCUGACCCCAAGUCCUUCCUGGAACUGGACUUCGGUUUUCGCAGCGGGAUCUCAGAGCACCUGAUGGAUGUUGACGUGCUUUCCCCAGCACUUGCCACUGCUGCUUGCCCACAGGCCCAGAGGUUGGGAAGAAAAGACAAGGAUGGCAGCCAGUCCAGCCAAGAUGAGCCACAGAGCAAGCGGUGCAAAGGCUCGGAGAGGUCCUCUCCUCCACUUGUGCCUGGGAGGCGGCUCCAGAGUCCCCUUCCGAGCCAGGCCACCGAAGAAGGGCCUCCCGAGGCCUCUGAGGGGCAGCCUGAGCAGAAGCGGGCAGAGGAGCCCGGGGAGGACUCUGCAGGCAGCUCCAUCCCUGCCGGUUCCCUGAGGAGGGAAGAGACCCCAAGCCCACCUGCCGCCCCCGCGAGGGGCAGGGAGCAGCGCUCCGGGGCCGAGGAGCCUGAGGAGGGGGCGGCCAGCCCUGCCGCACCAGCCUCUCCAGAGGUGCGAGCUGCGGAGCCUGCGACUCCCCCAAAGCAGGCUUCCCUGAGGGCCAUGGAGGAGGCCGUGGCCCACGACCUGGAGCAAGACCAGAGGCGGCUUCUGGAAUCGAAACGAGAGAAGAUUCAGCAGCUCCGGGAGAAGCUGUGGCAGGAGGAGGAAGAGGAGGUCCUCCAGCUUCACCAGCAGAAAGAGAAGUCUCUCAGUUCCCUGAAGGCGCAGCUGCGGAAGGCCACCGAGGAAGAGGAGACUCGGAUGAGAGAGGAGGAAAGCCGGCGGCUGUCCCAGCUCCUGGCCCAGGUGCAGUCCCAUGUGGAAGCAGAUGAGAGCCAGAUCAGGGCCGAGCAGGAGGCUUCCCUGCAGAGGCUGAGAGAAGAGUCGGAGUCUCUCCAGAAGGCCGAGAGGGCCAGCUUGGAGCAGAGGAACAGACAGAUGCUGGAGCAGCUCAAGGAAGAGAUGGAGGCCUCGGAGGAGAGAGAGCGGGCUUCCCUGAAGGCCGAGAAGGAGAGGGCUCUGCAGCAGCUCAGGGAACAGCUGGAGGGCGAGAGGAAAGAAGCAGUGGCAGCACUGGAGAGUGAGCACCGAGCUGAGCUGGAGCGGCUCUCUUCCUCGCUGGAGGCCAAGCACAGAGAGGUUGUCUCCAGCCUCCAGAAGAAGAUGGAGGAGGCCCAGCAGAGGGAGGAGGCCCAGCUGCAGGAGAGCCUUGGUCGGGCAGAGCAGAGGGCUCAUCAGAAGGCUCACCAAGUGUUCCAGUACGAGCAAGAGCUCAGCGACCUCCUGCGAGAGAAGCGCCAGCAGGUGGAGAGGGAACACGAGAGGAAGAUGGACAGGAUGAAGGAGGAGCACCAGCAGGUGCUGGCUGAGGCCAGAGAGCAGUACGAAGCCGAGGAGAGGAAGCAGCGGGCUGAACUCCUGGGACACCUGACCUGUGAGCUGGAGCGCCUUCGAAGGUCGCACGAGCGUGAACUAGAGGCCGUGAGGCAGACGCAGGAUAGGCAGCUGGAGGACUUACGGCGGCGGCACCGGGAGCAGGAAAGGAAACUCCAAAAUUUAGAGGUGGAACUGGAAACCAGAACCAAAGAUGUCAAGGCCCGAUUGGCUCAGCUGGACAUCCAGGUGAGAGAGCGGGAGUUGAGGACAGGAUCUCCAGGUGCCCUUGACCGUGGAGUCAUAGAAGCCACAGCCAACCAUCAUCACCUGGAGGAGGCAAAGAAGGAGCACACCCAUCUGUUGGAGACAAACCAACAGCUCCGAAGAAUUCUCGAUGAACUUCGGGCCCACAAGUUGGAGCUAGAGUCCCAGGUGGAUGUGCUGCAGACCCAGAGGUGGAGGCUGCAGAAACAACUCAGCGACCUGGAGGCUGAAACUCAGAGGAAGCAGGAGGUGUUGAAUGAGCUGGCAGCUAAGGAGAGCAAUGCCUCCUCACGUGUUGAGCCAGAUCUCCACAUUGAGGACCUGAGGAAAUCCCUUGGGACAAACCAGACCAAAGAGGUAUCCUCUUCUCUCCCCCAGAGCAAGGAGGAGACCGACUUAUCCUUGGACAGCGUCCGACACUACCUCUCUGCCGAGGGGCUAGCCCUCCGCAGUGCCAAGGAGUUCCUGGUGCGGCAGACGCGCUCCAUGCGGAGGCGGCAGACGGCUCUGAAAGCUGCCCAGCAGCACUGGCGCCAGGAGCUGGCCGGCGCUCAGGAAGCCGCCCAAGAUCCACCGGGCACCAAGGCCCUGGAGGACGUGCGCAAGGACUUGGAGGAGGAGACCCGGCACCUGGAUGAGAUGAAGUCGGCCAUGCGGAAGGGCCACGACCUGCUGAAGAAGAAAGAGGAGAAACUGAAUCAGCUGGAGUCCUCUCUUCUGGAAGAGGCCCCAGAUGAGGACAUUCUGAGAGGCGCCCCCCCCAAGAAGGUGGUGACUUUCGACCUCAGCGACACUGAAGACAUGAGCAGCGCAAGUUCUGAAUCCUGCCCCCUGCCUCACCGUGAGUGGUGGCAUCAGCCCAGAGGGGGACCACACGCCACCUUCCCCAACAAGAUCUACUACUUGAGCAGCUCCCUGCAGCGCAUCAGCAGCCAGCUGAAUGGUGUCCUCAGCAUGCUGGGCAGCCUCAACCCGCAGCCGCCACUGCCUCUCUUCACUUCCACGCCGGCGCACGUCCCGCCCCGGGCCGCUGGGAGCACCUCCAUUCCUGCCUGCCCCUCCCGGCUCUCACCCUCGCCGCUGGCUACACCCUCAUCCACCCAGUGGGCCUGGGACCCGGGGCUGGGCCCCAGGCUCUCCUCCUCCGCGGCUCAAACAGUGGAUGACUUCCUGCUGGAGAAGUGGCGCAAAUAUUUUCCAGCUGGAGUACCGUUCCUCAGCACCGGCCCUGCCCCCCUGGAGAACAGGCUGGGUUAUGUGUCGGCCAGCGAGCAGCUGCGGCUCCUGCAGCGGGCCCAUCCCCAGGUCUCCGAGGUGGGCAGCACCGACGUCCAGGGCCUGAUCGAGGCUAACCGAAAGUGGCUCCAGCGUUACAAGAAUGACCCCAAACGUCUCUUCUCUUCAGGGCCCAGGCUGGCAGCCUCUUCUGACUUCCUGCAGCUGGGCCUGGAUGAGAACAAUAGGCUGAAGGUGUAUCACUACUGA
rnacentral:lncRNA from 1 species